rnacentral:rRNA from 1 species
GUCGAACGCUGGCGGCGUGCCUAAUACAUGCAAGUAGAACGCUGAAGGAGGAGCUUGCUUCUCUGGAUGAGUUGCGAACGGGUGAGUAACGCGUAGGUAACCUGCCUGGUAGCGGGGGAUAACUAUUGGAAACGAUAGCUAAUACCGCAUAAUAGUAGAUGUUGCAUGACAUUUGCUUAAAAGGUGCAAUUGCAUCACUACCAGAUGGACCUGCGUUGUAUUAGCUAGUUGGUGAGGUAACGGCUCACCAAGGCGACGAUACAUAGCCGACCUGAGAGGGUGGUCGGCCACACUGGGACUGAGACACGGCCCAGACUCCUACGGGGAGCAGCAGUAGGGAAUCUUCGGCAAUGGACGGAAGUCUGACCGAGCAACGCCGCGUGAGUGAAGAAGGUUUUCGGAUCGUAAAGCUCUGUUGUAAGGGAAGAACGAGUGUGAGAGUGGAAAGUUCACACUGUGACGGUAUCUUACCAGAAAGGGACGGCUAACUACGUG